rnacentral:rRNA from 1 species
GGGUUGUGAGGUUAAGUGACUAAGCGUACACGGUGGAUGCCUAGGCAGUCAGAGGCGAUGAAGGGCGUGCUAAUCUGCGAAAAGCGUCGGUAAGGUGAUAUGAACCGUUAUAACCGGCGAUACCCGAAUGGGGAAACCCAGUGUGUUUCGACACACUAUCAUGUCAUGAAUACAUAGUGGCAUGAGGCGAACCGGGGGAACUGAAACAUCUAAGUACCCCGAGGAAAAGAAAUCAACCGAGAUUCCCCCAGUAGCGGCGAGCGAACGGGGAGGAGCCCAGAACCUGAAUCGGCUUGUGUGUUAGUGGAAGCGUCUGGAAAGUCGCGCAGCAAAGGGUGAUAGCCCCGUACACUAAAAUGCACAGGUCGUGAGUUCGAUGAGUAGGGCGGGACACGUGACAUCCUGUCUGAAUAUGGGGGGACCAUCCUCCAAGGCUAAAUACUCCUGACUGACCGAUAGUGAACCAGUACCGUGAGGGAAAGGCGAAAAGAACCCCGGCGAGGGGAGUGAAAUAGAACCUGAAACCGUGUACGUACAAGCAGUGGGAGCACCUUCGUGGUGUGACUGCGUACCUUUUGUAUAAUGGGUCAGCGACUUAUAUUUUGUAGCAAGGUUAACCGUAUAGGGGAGCCGUAGGGAAACCGAGUCUUAACUGGGCGAAUAGUUGCAAGGUAUAGACCCGAAACCCGGUGAUCUAGCCAUGGGCAGGUUGAAGGUUGGGUAACACUAACUGGAGGACCGAACCGACUAAUGUUGAAAAAUUAGCGGAUGACUUGUGGCUGGGGGUGAAAGGCCAAUCAAACCGGGAGAUAGCUGGUUCUCCCCGAAAGCUAUUUAGGUAGCGCCUCGUGAACUCAUCUUCGGGGGUAGAGCACUGUUUCGGCUAGGGGGCCAUCCCGGCUUACCAAACCGAUGCAAACUCCGAAUACCGAAGAAUGUUAUCACGGGAGACACACGGCGGGUGCUAACGUCCGUCGUGAAGAGGGAAACAACCCAGACCGCCAGCUAAGGUCCCAAAGUCAUGGUUAAGUGGGAAACGAUGUGGGAAGGCACAGACAGCCAGGAUGUUGGCUUAGAAGCAGCCAUCAUUUAAAGAAAGCGUAAUAGCUCACUGGUCGAGUCGGCCUGCGCGGAAGAUGUAACGGGGCUAAACCAUGCACCGAAGCUGCGGCAGCGACGCUUAGGCGUUGUUGGGUAGGGGAGCGUUCUGUAAGCCGUUGAAGGUGGCCUGUGAGGGUUGCUGGAGGUAUCAGAAGUGCGAAUGCUGACAUAAGUAACGAUAAAGCGGGUGAAAAGCCCGCUCGCCGGAAGACCAAGGGUUCCUGUCCAACGUUAAUCGGGGCAGGGUGAGUCGACCCCUAAGGCGAGGCUGAAAAGCGUAGUCGAUGGGAAACAGGUUAAUAUUCCUGUACUUGGUGUUACUGCGAAGGGGGGACGGAGAAGGCUAGGCUAGCCGGGCGACGGUUGUCCCGGUUUAAGCGUGUAGGGGGUGUGACCUGGUAAAUCCGGUUACAUACUAACCCUGAGGCGUGAUGACGAUGCACUACGGUGCAGAAGUAGUUGAUGCCCUGCUUCCAGGAAAAGCCUCUAAGCUCCAGGUAACAUUAAAUCGUACCCCAAACCGACACAGGUGGUCAGGUAGAGAAUACCAAGGCGCUUGAGAGAACUCGGGUGAAGGAACUAGGCAAAAUGGUGCCGUAACUUCGGGAGAAGGCACGCUGGCAUGUAGGUGAAGUCCCUCGCGGAUGGAGCUGAAGCCAGUCGAAGAUACCAGCUGGCUGCAACUGUUUAAUAAAAACACAGCACUGUGCAAACACGAAAGUGGACGUAUACGGUGUGACGCCUGCCCGGUGCUGGAAGGUUAAUUGAUGGGGUCAGCCGCAAGGCGAAGCUCUUGAUCGAAGCCCCAGUAAACGGCGGCCGUAACUAUAACGGUCCUAAGGUAGCGAAAUUCCUUGUCGGGUAAGUUCCGACCUGCACGAAUGGCGUAAUGAUGGCCAGGCUGUCUCCACCCGAGACUCAGUGAAAUUGAACUCGCUGUGAAGAUGCAGUGUACCCGCGGCAAGACGGAAAGACCCCGUGAACCUUUACUAUAGCUUGACACUGAACAUUGAGCCUUGAUGUGUAGGAUAGGUGGGAGGCUUUGAAGCGUGGACGCCAGUCUGCGUGGAGCCAUCCUUGAAAUACCACCCUUUAAUGUUUGAUGUUCUAACUCGGCCCCAUAAUCUGGGGUGAGGACAGUGUCUGGUGGGUAGUUUGACUGGGGCGGUCUCCUCCCAAAGAGUAACGGAGGAGCACGAAGGUUAGCUAAUCACGGUCGGACAUCGUGAGGUUAGUGCAAAGGCAUAAGCUAGCUUGACUGCGAGAGUGACGGCUCGAGCAGGUACGAAAGUAGGUCUUAGUGAUCCGGUGGUUCUGAAUGGAAGGGCCAUCGCUCAACGGAUAAAAGGUACUCCGGGGAUAACAGGCUGAUACCGCCCAAGAGUUCAUAUCGACGGCGGUGUUUGGCACCUCGAUGUCGGCUCAUCACAUCCUGGGGCUGAAGUAGGUCCCAAGGGUAUGGCUGUUCGCCAUUUAAAGUGGUACGCGAGCUGGGUUUAGAACGUCGUGAGACAGUUCGGUCCCUAUCUGCCGUGGGCGUUGGAAGAUUGAGAGGGGUUGCUCCUAGUACGAGAGGACCGGAGUGAACGCACCACUGGUGUUCGGGUUGUCAUGCCAAUGGCAUUGCCCGGUAGCUAAGUGCGGAAAAGAUAAGCGCUGAAAGCAUCUAAGCGCGAAACUUGCCUCAAGAUGAGUCUUCCCUGGGCCUUUAAGGCCCCUGAAGGAACGUUUAAGACUAAGACGUUGAUAGGCUGGGUGUGUAAGUGCAGCGAUGCAUUGAGCUAACCAGUACUAAUGAUCCGUGAGGCUUAACCUUACAACACCGAAG